rnacentral:rRNA from 1 species
GACGAACGCUGGCGGCGUGCUUAACACAUGCAAGUCGAACGGAAAGGCCCUGCUUUUGUGGGGUGCUCGAGUGGCGAACGGGUGAGUAACACGUGAGUAACCUGCCCUUGACUUUGGGAUAACUUCAGGAAACUGGGGCUAAUACCGGAUAGGAGCUCCUGCUGCAGGGUGGGGGUUGGAAAGUUUCGGCGGUUGGGGAUGGGCUCGCGGCUGAUCAGCUUGUUGGUGGGGUAGUGGCUUACCAAGGCUUUGACGGGUAGCCGGCCUGAGAGGGUGACCGGCCACAUUGGGACUGAGAUACGGCCCAGACUCCUACGGGAGGCAGCAGUGGGGAAUAUUGCACAAUGGGCGGAAGCCUGAUGCAGCAACGCCGCGUGCGGGAUGACGGCCUUCGGGUUGUAAACCGCUUUCGCCUGUGACGAAGCGUGAGUGACGGUAAUGGGUAAAGAAGCACCGGCUAACUACGUG